UGCCAGACUCCUACGGGAGGCAGCAGUGGGGAAUAUUGCACAAUGGGGGAAACCCUGAUGCAGCGACGCCGCGUGAGUGAGGAAGUAUUUCGGUAUGUAAAGCUCUAUCAGCAGGGAAGAAAAAAUGGCGGUACCUGACUAAGAAGCACCGGCUAAAUACGUGCCAGCAGCCGCGGUAAUACGUAUGGUGCAAGCGUUAUCCGGAUUUACUGGGUGUAAAGGGAGCGCAGGCGGUACGGCAAGUCUGAUGUGAAAGCCCGGGGCUCAACCCCGGGACUGCAUUGGAAACUGUUUAACUGGAGUGUCGGAGAGGCAAGUGGAAUUCCUAGUGUAGCGGUGAAAUGCGUAGAUAUUAGGAGGAACACCAGUGGCGAAGGCGGCUUGCUGGACGAUGACUGACGCUGAGGCUCGAAAGCGUGGGGAGCAAACAGGAUUAGAUACCCGGGUA
rnacentral:rRNA from 1 species